rnacentral:rRNA from 1 species
GACGUAGGGGGCCAGCGUUGUUCGGAAUUACUGGGUGUAAAGGGUUCGUAGGCGGUGUAGCAAGUCGGGAGUGAAAUCUCUGGGCUUAACCCAGAGGCUGCUUCCGAAACUGCUGUGCUUGAGUGUGGGAGAGGCGCGUGGAAUUGCAGGUGUAGCGGUGAAAUGCGCAGAUAUCAGGAAGAACACCCGUGGCGAAGGCGGCUCUCUGGGACGGUACUGACGCUGAGACGCGAAAGCGUGGGGAGCAAACAGG